rnacentral:sRNA from 1 species
AGCUGCCCUACACAAUGAGUGAUUGGCGAUCGCACUUCUCCUCCCAGUGCCAUAGCGUCAGCUGUUCCCCCCUGGAGAGUAGGCAUCUUCACACCUCAACGGGCCUCGGACUUUCCGACGGCCCGAUCUU